UACAGAGGUCUCAAGCGUUGUUCGGAUUCAUUGGGCGUAAAGGGUGCGUAGGCGGCGCGUUUAAGUCAGGUGUGAAAUUUCGGAGCUUAACUCCGAAACUGCAUUUGAUACUGGCGUGCUUGAGGACUGGAGAGGAGACUGGAAUUCAUGGUGUAGCAGUGAAAUGCGUAGAGAUCAUGAGGAAGACCAGUGGCGAAGGCGGGGUCUCUGGACAGUUCCUGACACUGAGGCACGAAGGCCAGGGGAGCAAACGGG
rnacentral:rRNA from 1 species